rnacentral:tRNA from 1 species
GUUUAAAUAGCUUAUAAUUAGAGUAUAACAUUGAAGCUGUUAGGGAGAACAUUUGUUCUUUAAACA